rnacentral:tRNA from 1 species
GCCGCAGUCGUCUAGGGGUAAGGACACCAGUUUGUGGUUCAUCAUUGAAUGGAAUCACUGGAAACCGAGGUUCGAGUCCUCGCUGCGGCA